ACCGUUUCGUACCAGUCGGGACGAUGUGCAAGCAGUUUAUCGCGACCGACCAACGUGGCAAGACCUGUUCGAGACCGGAGGACACCGUCGAUGAUUCCGUAGUUAGGCCUGGCCAGCUGGUGGUGCACACAAUGCCCCUUUGUGUGAUUUGAUGCAACCGAAAUGCCCACUAAUCAGUGCAUCCCGUGGAGCAGUGAAUAAAUAAAUAAACAAAAUAGAAAAAAAAAUUAAACUAUCGAUCAGCGCGGUUCGUGCGGUGAACAAUCAGCCCGAAAGUUUAGAUUAGUGAUUGAACAACACUUCGUUUAUAACGGAAAUAAUUGGAAAAUAAUAGGAUUAGAGUAUAGGAUAUUUCAACCGUUAGAGUCCGGUUAGAUUGAACCUAGUUCCCCUUUAGUAGAGUGUAUCCGUCCCAGUGUUCCAUCGUGAAGAGGCUCACAGUGGUGCGUGCUCUCGUGUGCGUGUGCGUGUGUACAAAUUAGUUUUCUGUGUCCGAUUAUUUCUUGUAAAUCGAAUCCAAGCUUUGAAAGAGAAAGCAGACUUUAUUCUACGGUUCUAUAGAAGCUAUCCUCACAAGAAAAGCAAAGCUCACUUAAUUUUAGGAACGGUUGUGAUUGUUGGCAAUGUUCUAGUGAAAGUUCACUUAGUGUAAACAGAUGCUUCUUCCAGCUAGAGUUUAGUGUAGAUAUUCAGUGUUGUGUCUAGUGCACGUGAUAGUAAGUUAGUGUGAUAGCGACUUUGUACCUCCCACGAGAACGUGGCAGACAAUUUGUGAGUGUGUGCUUGAAUUUAAUUAAAAGGCCGACGCAACGAACGAAACAAAAUAAAAAAAAAAAUCUUCGCAAAAGUGCACCAUAAAUUAAGGCCCAGUGGAAAGGAAUCGAGUGUGAGAGUGUACUUACGGUUUCCUAGCUGGUGCGAAUUUUUUUUGUGUGUGUUUUUUCUUGCGAACCAAAAAGGGUCUAGUUUGCUACGCGCGCGGAAAAAGGUCGCAUGUUCUGCCUCAUUAUCACAUAAACCUUUUGACGCUCUCCAACGUCGACGACGACGACGACGACGUAGAAGCAGAACGAUUGAAGUCAAAACAGUUGGACAGGAAAGUUCGUUUCAUAUUUUUCCCUGCUUGCCUAAGUCACGCUCGUAACAGCACACUUGCUGUGACUUUUUCGCUCGUUACUUCUCCGUGAAGACAUGAAACUUAGAACCCACCAAGCACCAGAAGACUAUCUAAUCCGGUGAAACAUCACUGCUUGUAUAUACUUACUAGACUUCUGUGGACGAAAAAACACACCCUCCCGGAGCACCACUGCUGGUGUGAAUGAAUUCCAGCGACAUUCUGCUGGAACUUGACUUUCGCCUUCCACGUAACAGUCGCGCUCCAAAUGCAGCUCAAGUGAAAAAUAAAACAAACAAAGCAUCUCAAACACUGUAAGCACGUAAUAAUUCUCUACCCACCGAACAGAGAAAGAGAAAAAAAAAAUCACAGACAAAUUCCGAUUCCCACCUCGGCUAAAUCUCGUAACCCAACCCAACCCAAACCUGAAGUGGUAAGUGAAAAACUAUCAUCCCGGCAAACGCUACCAGAAAAGCUUCCGCCGGUUUUUUCUUCUCGCAACGGCAGCACCGCCAGACAGUCCGCAAGGGGACCCGCAAGGGGUUAACUUAGGAAGCGUGCGACAAGUGUGAAGCACGUGCCAGUAAGCAAGUAAGCUGCUGUCUCGUACUGCCAAAAUUCCGAAACCAACCGAAGAAACCAAGUCGUCGACGAAGAAGAAGAACAGAGGGAAAAUUUUUCCGUCCGGGAAACGGUAAAUUCCCGCGUUGAAAGCAAUCCGAGAGAGAGUGAGGAAAAAAAAAACACCCGAGAAAAAUCCAAGUGAGCUGUGGUGUGUAAGCGAACGCAAAGAAGAAAAAAAAACGAGAACGGAAAAAGUGUUGCUUCGAUUCAUCGGAAGUCGCUGCAAGAACACUUCAGCAGGUGUGCUUCGGUUUCGGAUCCGAUUGCAGUUUGAUUAUCGGUGUGUCCUUUCGAUUGCUGCCAGUGAUGACGAUGCGCCCCGUGUUGACGACGACACCGAUGAUGACGAUGAGUAAUCGAAACGUGCUACUGUGGAUAAAUUAAUUGUGCUUCGAGCAGAGGCAGAAACAGUCGCACUAGCGAGACCAGAGAAGAGAAGCGAGAGAAGAGGACAAACAGUGAGGUGAAACAGGACAUUGACGACGACGGAACGCAUUAAGCAUACGAUGAGCUAUCAGCAAGG